GUAGGUGGCAAGCGUUGUCCGGAAUUAUUGGGCGUAAAGCGCGCGCAGGCGGUUCUUUAAGUCUGAUGUGGAAGCCCACGGCUCAACCGUGGAGGGUCAUUGGAAACUGGAGAACUUGAGUACAGAAGAGGAAAGCGGAAUUCCACGUGUAGCGGUGAAAUGCGUAGAGAUGUGGAGGAACACCAGCGGCGAAGGCGGCUUUCUGGUCUGUAACUGACGCUGAGGCGCGAAAGCGUGGGGAGCAAACAGGGAUUAGAUACCCUGGUAGUCCACGCCGUAAACGAUGAGUGCUAAGUGUUAGGGGGGUUUCCGCCCCCUUAGUGCUGCAGCUAACGCAUUAAGCACUCCGCCUGGGGAGUACGGCCGCAAGGCUG
rnacentral:rRNA from 1 species